ACAAGAAUGUAGGGGCACCGGUGUUGCCGGUUGAGAUAUUAUCCACGAGAUAAUGACCCUUAGAACCUGAUCUGGUUAACACCAGCGGAGGGAACAUAUUUAACAAAGCA
rnacentral:ncRNA from 2 species